rnacentral:rRNA from 1 species
AUAGAUUAAGUUAUUAAGGGCGCACGGUGGAUGCCUUGGCACUAGAAGCCGAAGAAGGACGUUACUAACGACGAUAUGCUUUGGGUAGCUGUAAGUAAGCGUUGAUCCAGAGAUUUCCGAAUGGGGGAACCCAACAUGAGUUAUGUCAUGUUAUCGACAUGUGAAUUCAUAGCAUGUCAGAAGGCAGACCCGGAGAACUGAAACAUCUUAGUACCCGGAGGAAGAGAAAGAAAAAUCGAUUCCCUGAGUAGCGGCGAGCGAAACGGGAAGAGCCCAAACCAACAAGCUUGCUUGUUGGGGUUGUAGGACACUCUAUA